GGGAGCAAACAGGAUUAGAUACCCUGGUAGUCCACGCCGUAAACGAUGUCUACUUGGAGGUUGUGCCCUUGAGGCGUGGCUUCCGGAGCUAACGCGUUAAGUAGACCGCCUGGGGAGUACGGCCGCAAGGUUAAAACUCAAAUGAAUUGACGGGGGCCCGCACAAGCGGUGGAGCAUGUGGUUUAAUUCGAUGCAACGCGAAGAACCUUACCUGGUCUUGACAUCCACAGAASWWUCCAGAGAUGGAYUKGUGCCUUCGGGAACUGUGAGACAGGUGCUGCAUGGCUGUCGUCAGCUCGUGUUGUGAAAUGUUGGGUUAAGUCCCGCAACGAGCGCAACCCUUAUCCUUUGUUGCCAGCGGUUAGGCCGGGAACUCAAAGGAGACUGCCAGUGAUAAACUGGAGGAAGGUGGGGAUGACGUCAAGUCAUCAUGGCCCUUACGACCAGGGCUACACACGUGCUACAAUGGCGCAUACAAAGAGAAGCGACCUCGCGAGAGCAAGCGGACCUCAUAAAGUGCGUCGUAGUCCGGAUUGGAGUCUGCAACUCGACUCCAUGAAGUCGGAAUCGCUAGUAAUCGUGGAUCAGAAUGCCACGGUGAAUACGUUCCCGGGCC
rnacentral:rRNA from 1 species